CUUGGUCGCGAGUCCGAAUCCGUGGAAAAGGCCGAAGAGCAGAACCGCGACCUUCGUGUUCGGUUGGAAGCCGAACAGCCGCUUGAAUCCCUGCAUGUUAUCGAAAGCCUUGUAGACCACGGAAAAGCCGAUGAUG
rnacentral:misc_RNA from 1 species